GUCUCCACUCCCGGCGGAGCCCGCGGAGGUCGAGCGGCUGCCCCAGAGGUGGCGAAGCGGCCCGACUGUGCCUCCGCCGCGGCCCAGCCCCCUCCUCUCCCGGCCUGCCGCUACCUGCCCCCGCCACCUCCAGCCGCUGCCCCACCUCCCAGCCAGCCCCAGUCCCGUACCCCGGUCCCCUCCGGCUCAGCCCAGACCGGCAGGCCUGGGAUGGAAACGGGCUCCAGGGUGCACGGGGAUGGUGAGUGGGGGUUCCCCCUGCCCACGCCCCCCUGGGCCCUUCUGUGACCCCGAGGCGCGGUGUGAGCACGAACCUCGAGGGUCCUUGGAGGAUCCUAACUUCAAAUCUUGGGCAGCCGCCUAAGGCUUCCAGGAAUUCGCAUCAUCCGCGCCCCCGCCUGCAGAUCAAUGGACAGAGGGUCAACAAUGCUCCGGGCGUGGUGCUGGAUGCUGAGACUACAGCAGGAGCCACAACCACCAUAACACCACCUCCACGUAACAUCACCACCACCGAUAAUAAUAGCACACUGAGGUGAAGUUUAGUGUGUGCAGCCGGGCACAAAACUAAGCACUUUAAACAUAUCCCCCCUAUUUUAUCCUCACAAUAAACCUGUGAGGAAGGUACAUUAUUAUCCCAUUUUUCAGGUAAGGAAACUGAAGCCAACCAGAUGUCGGAUUUUUUUUCAACUCCAAAACUGCAAAAAAAAAAAAAAAAUUGCAAUGCAAAAAAAGAGAAAAAUUGCAAUACAAAUAUUUUACUAUUUGAAGACACCUCUGCCCCCUCCACGUACACCCUUGCAGUCCCUCAUUUCUUCCCUUCAAGAGCCCCAGCCUGGUGCAUCGACAACCUCUUCAGAAGAUGGGCCUAAUAUGAAGAAGUCCACCAGGCCAAUCUGACAAAGGAAGUGGGCGCUCCCGAGCAAAGCCACAGAGCUUGUUCAAGCUUCCUGGGGCGCCUUCCUGCCACUGGGUUUAUUUACCUGCCAUCCAGAGAUGCCACCCACGCGGCAAACGGACACCCAGUCUCAGAGAGAGGAGAGAGGAUCCACCCAGAACACAGAUGUCUUCCUACAUACACUGUCUUCUCUCGCUUCUCCAGCAAAGCCAAGAGACAAGCCUUUGUACUCCAGUGUGAGAUGCUAGCAGAGGACACACUUCGGCUACCAGCAACCCACCCAAUUCCAGCCAAGCUGUCGUAAUCUCUGUAGUAGCAGGGCCUAGGAGACCUAGCGCAGCACCUGCCACAGAGCGGGGGGCCAUGUGUGCAUUUGCAGACUGAAAGUGAGCUCCUGAACCAUGGAAAUCUCAUACUAGAUCAGAAAGGCCUGUGUUUAAGGGCUUUUAAAUCAUCUUGAGUCCCUCAUUUAUCCAUUUAACUGGCAUUUGUUGAGUACCUACUGUGUGCAGGACUUUGUUAGGUGCUGGGGAUACAAUAUUGAGCAAUAAGAGACAUGAGCUCAAGGCCUCAUGAAGGGCCACGCCCUUGGAGAGGCUACUAGGGGAGAUAAAUAUUAAUCCAGUCAUCAUAAAUGCAAAACUGCAGCUGUUACUAGGACCUCGAGGGAAAGAUAUAUGAUGUCUCAUGAGAGACGCGAUCUGGUGCGGGAGCUUAAGGAAGGGAUGGCCAAGCUGAGAUCGGAAAGAUAAGGAGUUAAGGAGGCACAGUGGGAGGGGAAAGGCAUUCCACCCAGAGGCAGGGGCAAGAGCAGAGCCCUUGCAGGUUGUGGGCACGCGCUGUCCCGGGGAGCGGAGGGAAGGCGGGCGGGGCCGGGCCCUCCGCGGGUGCGGCGGAAGCGCGCUCCGGGACAGCUGGAGAGGGGGCGGUGCGAGGUGCAGAGCGCACUUUGUCCCGCGAGCGGUGGGGAGCCACUGCAGAGUUUCAGGUUGAAAAGAAUGGAAUGAAAAGACGGGAGUUUUGAAAAUCUCACUGUGGGGGCAAUGUGGAGAAUAGCAGGAGGGUCCAGUACAGAAGUGGACAGACUCAUGGGGGAGGAGGAUGUUUGUGGAGAUGGACAGAAGUGGAUAGAUUGAGGGCUGUUUAGGGAAGAAAUCAUCGGCGGAACCGGGUGACGGCUUGAAUCUGAUGCCUGGGCAGAGAGGGGAGAGGAUGGGGGAUUGAGGAGAAAGGGGCAUCGUGGACCCAGCCCAGCUUCUGGCUGGUACCUGCCUAGAGUGCGCAGCUCAGGACUGAGAGGUGCAGGUCUGGGAGGAAGACUGUGUUUUGCUUUGGACUUGCCAGGAAUGAGACGGUGUACGGUAGGCAGCGGACUAUCCCGGUCCAGAGCAGAGCAGAGAGAGCUCUGCGGAAUAUCCACAUUUACGAGUCAUCUGCCUCCAAGUAGUAAUGUGAAGCUGCUAUUGGCUGGAAAAAAAAAAAAAUCGCCUAGUGAGUAGUUGAGAGGACCUACGAUGGGCUUUGAUGGAUUACAGCAUUUGUGGGACAGGUGGAGAGCCCCUCCCUAGGCCCCCUCCUCCCCUCCAGUAGGGGUGAAGAAAGAAGGCCUCCUCCCCUGCACCUCCUUCCCUCCCCACCUCGCCUCCAUGUGCUCCGAUGGCAUUAAGCCCCUUAACCCCAUAUGUCAGUCACGGUAAGAAGCCCCAGAUGCCCAGCUCACCCCACAACUUGCUCCUCUGCUCAGCUCCUGAAACCAGUGCUGGGGGCCCUUGGGAUCUCAUAGGCACUGCUAACCUGUUCUCCCAGCAUUCUCUCCCCACUUGCUCUAACCUGGAUCACCUCUGAGGACACAUCCCCCUCUGCAGCCCUCUCAGGUGGCAGUAAAAGUUUUCCCCUAGACUUCUUACCAGUAGCCCCUGAUGUGGAACAGAUCUCCCUUUUGAUCCUCAUUACUACUUCCACACUAUUCUUCCGUCCUAAAAUCCCCAGCUUUGAAUAUCUUGUCAUCGGACUAUACCACCUACUGUCCGUCUGUGGCACAGCCAUCUAUUGCCCUGGGCCACUUCUCCUUGUUUCUCAUUGUUAUGUCCUAACUCACGGGCACUUUCUCCAAAAUAACGUUGCUAUUAAGUCUUGGUGAUUUCAACAUCACAAAGACGAUACCUUCCUUCCCUCUGCAUCUCUGUUCCUUGCACUUCUCUGGUCCCACGUCUUUGCUCUGCCUCAACCACUAUUCCUAUGGUAAUACCCUAAACCAAUAUUGACCAAAAGAAAUGUGAGCCAUAUAUUUAAUUUAAAAAGAAACUAAAGGGUGGCUCAGUGGGUUAAGCGUCUGCCUUUGGCUCAGGUCAUGCGGGUCCUGGGAUCAAGCGGAGCCGUCAGACUCUCUGCUCAGCGGGGAACCUGCUUCUUCCUCUCCCUCUGUCUGCUGCUCCCCCUGCUUGUGCUCUCUCUCGCUCUCUGUCAAAUAAAUAAAAUCUUAAAAAAAAAAAGAAAGAAACAGGUCACAGUAACUUCAAUAAUAGGUUUAAUGUAGUAUAUCCAAAAUAUUAUCAUUUCAACAUGUAAUCAAUAUUUUAAAAUUAUUAAUAAAACAUUUUAUAUUUUUUUGGUACUAA